AAGUCGUAACAAGGUAACCGUAGGUGAACCUGCGGUUGGAUCAUUAAUAAAAGAAGGACUUUAGAGUCCCCUUUAAACGCUAGUGCUCGUCUAAACAGCGAGCCUAGUUAACCCUUGUGUGAACCGUUUAUUGUCUCUGGUAGGACUUUGCGCCUGCCAGUUUACUUAUUAAACCCCGUUUUAAACAACGUCUUAUCAAAUAUAAAAAUUUGAAACAACUUUUGACAACGGAUCUCUUGGCUCUC
rnacentral:misc_RNA from 1 species